GUCCUUCCGUGUGAGAUCCAGUGGGGCAGAGCAAGGGCAGUGGGUCAGACUGCCCAGAUGUGUGGCCGGCUCAGCUGUCUACUGUCUGUCCCCUUGAGCAAGCUGGUCACCUUGCCUAUGCCUCAACUUCCUCAUCUGCACACGGAGGAUGACACAGUAGUUCCUUCCUUCCACCCUCGAGGGCUGCUGAGGAUUGAAUACAAUCACAUCCAUAAGGUGCUGCAAUUCCCAGGCCCCGGCCCACAGCCAGCGUGUGACAGGCCUCUCCAAGGAGGAUGAGAAAUGUUGACAAACAGGUUGAAGUUGGAACCUGUGCCAGCCGCUCUGCUUGCUUCCUGCUGCCCGUAGCCCUGGCCCUUGUGGUUGAGGACACAGAAAAGUAAAGAGGAUGUUGGCUUUCUCAUGGGAUGGUGUGGAAUCAGCAGCCACAGGGAGCUCUGGGAGGUGGGAGACAGCAGAGGUGGGGUCUCCCUCAGCCCCUUCCCUAGCCCUGCUGUUUGGUAGCUUUCCUUCCCACACCUCCUGGCUGUCCCGCAAGGCCCUACUUCAUACCAGAACUUUUGCCCAUCCUUCUGUACCUGUCCCAUACCUGUGCUUUUCUCUGGCCUGCUUUCUGCCUGUGUGGCUCAUAGAGGAGCUCAUCCAUAUGCUGGGCUGUGGGAAAACCCGUGUUCCUUUUAGGUUAUACAUUUGAAAUGGAAAGGCAGCACUGCUAAGCUUCUGAGCAGUCUGUUGGGGAUACAUUUGGGGAGCCAAUAAGCCCUUGGGAGGGGACACACAACCCCAGGCUGGUCUCCCAGUUUCUAGGGCUGUGGGGAGCCUGAGACGCUGCUUGCCCUCCCCACAAGCCCCAGGGAGAGGUUCCUUUGUCCCUGCAAAGUGUAUGGCUAAGUCCCAGUUGUACCCUGAGUGACUCCCAGUUGUCCUCCCAGACACAAAGCCAAACCAAAACCAAAACCUGCUGUGGCAAAAUAAUAAUAGGCUAGCAUUUUUGAGCAUCUGUUAUGUGUCAGAUUGUGUGCAUUUAUCUCCAACCUUCAUAACAACCUGAAGAGAUGAAUAUUAUCAUCCCAUUUUACUGGAGAAAAAACUGAGAUUCAGUGACUUGCCCAAAUUCUCAC
ensembl:lncRNA